AUGGAUGCCAUGGCCUUAGUUCGAAAGUAUGGCAAGCCAGACGUCUUACUCACAAUGACAUGCAACUCAAACUGGGAUGAGAUUAGGCAAGAACUCUACCCCGGUCAAACACCUGAGGAUCGUCCAGAUCUUGUUGUUCGUGUUUUCAGGGCAAAGUUGGAGGAACUCAAGAAUAAGUUGCUUCAGAAGGACAUCCCGGGCAAGGGGAGGUACAAGCUCACAUGGCCCGAGCAAUAUGACCGUCUUAUCUCAGCCGAGCUCCCAAACAAGAAGAAGUACCCAAAACUAUACAAGAUGGUUGUGAAGCAUAUGAUGCAUGGACCUUCUGGUAUAGAUGAGAUCAAACAGUAUACAGAUGCUACGUGGGUGACUCCUCCGGAAUCAUUAUGGAGGAUAUAUGGCUUUAAAUUGAGCAAGAACUCACCACUUGUGAAUAAGUUGCAACUCCAUCUGCCCAACAUGCGCAUGGUGUCAUUCAAAAAGGGCCAAGAUAUCGAACGAGUGGUUAACCAGGAAGGUGCUGAGAAGUCAAUGCCUACAGAGUACUUUGAGGCAAAUAGGUUACAUGAGGAGGCUCGGUCUAUCUUGUAUAGGGACUUCCCUGAGUGGUAUACCUGGCAGACAAGUAAGAAAAAUAAAUAUUGGAGAAGAAGGGAACGAGAUAUAGGUGGACAAGUUGGAAGAAUUAUGGCAGCUCAUCCCACGGAGGUGAACGCUAUUAGCUACGGGUCCCCUUAA
rnacentral:rRNA from 1 species